rnacentral:lncRNA from 1 species
CAGACUGAUUGACAUGUGACAAGCUAGCGUCAUCUUUUGUUGAGAGGUCAAAAUGUCCUUGUCGAAAGCCAAAAGAAAGGUAGAUGAUCAGCACAGACAAUUCCAGGAGAAGUGGGAGAUGGAUUAUUGUUUUGUUGAGUUCAGGCGCAAUGGCUUCAUCUGCAAAGAGAAGUUUGCCGUGUUGAAGGAAUAUAACUUGAAGUGGCAUUAUUGUAUGCAGAGGAGUACGGUAAAUACCAGAGAGAGGAGGGGAGCAAACCCAGCUUAACGAGCCCCCACUGACCGUACAUUGUGGUUUUUACCAUUUGUAUCCAUCACUUUUAGACACAGCCAUUAGCCGUAUGGAUCUUUUGCAGGAGCAAGUCGUGUCUUUUUAGGAUACCCCUUCUCUGCAUCCACAAAACGGGUUUCCUGCGACUUCACAGACUGUCCUUGUUUCUUAAACAUAAUUUAGGCAGUGGAAUCGUUCCGGCGUGCUCAGGAGACCACUCGAGUUCACGAAUCAAAGGUUAAAAGGUGACCCCCCCCAAAAUGACAAGUGAAGAAGAGCCGACCUUGGACAAUUGUGCGACUGGCUAGUUUUCGAUGAGGAGAGGCUUAUCAGCUAGUGUUUUGGGCCCACUGAUGGAGACUAUCAAGGACCAUGAACCCUCCAGAUGCCAUGAGGUGAUCUGCAGCAUACAAGCGCAAGAAAGUCCGUCUAGAGCCAGUGCCAGAGGUGGCGAUUCCCAGACCUCAGAGGGUCCGCCCGAUCCUCAGGAGGCUGAGGAAGUUCCUGAAAAAGGAACAAGCCCUUGUGGCAGAGGGCUCUGUACGGGAGCCCCAGACAACAGGGUCAGAGGUCACCCCUCACAUCCCCUCAGAGGUCUCGGCCAUUCCGAUCACACCUAGUCCAAAUGCCCUUCAAGAGACCGAGAAGGAGGAGACUAAGGUGAUCAAGGCCAUCC